AUACGUAGGUGGCAAGCGUUAUCCGGACUUAUUGGGCGUAAAGAGUGAGCAGGCGGUUAAUUAAGUCUGAGGUUAAAGCCUGGGGCUCAAACCCAUAAAGCCUUGGAAACUGAUUGACUAGAGUACGGGAGCAGUGAAGGGAACUCCAUGUGUAGCGGUGAAAUGCGUAGAUAUAUGGAAGAACACCAGUGGCGAAGGCGCUUCACUAGCCCGAAACUGACGCUCAGUCACGAAAGCGUGGGUAGCAAAUAGGAUUAGAUACCCUAGUAGUCCACGCUGUAAACGAUGACAACUAAAUAUUGCCGCGAGGCAGUGUUGAAGCUAACGCAUUAAGUUGUCCGCCUGGGGAGUACGGUCGCAAGACUGAAACUCAAAGGAAUUGGCGGGG
rnacentral:rRNA from 1 species